CUCGUAGGCGGUCUGUCGCGUCUGCUGUGAAAACUCAGGGCUUAACCCUGAGCUUGCAGUGGGUACGGGCAGACUAGAGUGCGGUAGGGGAGACUGGAAUUCCUGGUGUAGCGGUGAAAUGCGCAGAUAUCAGGAGGAACACCGGUGGCGAAGGCGGGUCUCUGGGCCGUAACUGACGCUGAGGAGCGAAAGCAUGGGGAGCGAACA
rnacentral:rRNA from 1 species